AAUGAGGAUAAUGGCUUUACUGCCCUGUCAUUUCGAUGAGGUAAUGAGGAUAAUAGCUUUAAUGCCCUGUCAUUUUGAUGAGAUAAUGAGGUUAAAUGGCUUUACUGCCUUGACAUUUCGAUGAGGAUAAUGGCUUUACUGCCCUGUCAUUUCGCUGAGGUAAUGAGGAUAAUGGCUUUACUGCCCUGUCAUUUUGAUGAGGUAAUUAGGAUAAUGGCUUUACUGCCUUGCCAUUUCGAUGAGGUAAUGAGGAUAAUGGCUUUACUGCCCUGUCAUUUCAAUGAGGUAAUGAGGAUAAUGGCUUUACUGCCCUGUCAUUUCGAUGAGGUAAUGAGGAUAAUGGCUUUACUGCCCUGUCAUUUGCUUACCAUAUGACCCAUAUUUACAAAACAAAAUGGCACCAAACUGACAUGUUUUAUUUUGAUGACAAUCAUUCAAAUCCUUACAAAUGAAAAGGCAGAUCAACAAAUUCUUUGCAUAUUUUAUUUGUAUUUUCUUCCAACUUUCAACUCACACGUGGUCAUAUUUUACAUCUUUGUAAUAAAACAUGAAUACAAUAGUUUUUUUUGGGGGGGUUUCAUAGAUCCAAAAAUAUUAGAUCCAUAAAUUGAACCCGUUUUUGGGUGUGAGUGUAUUUGAUUGAGUUUAACACACUAACAGUACAUCUCAUGUUUUACCUUUGUACUUCCUGUCUCUCCUCCUCCUCCCUCCCUCUCUCUGGUCUUAAUUAACUGUCUCUCCUCCCCCUCCCUCCCUCUCUCUGGUCUUAAUUAACUGUCUCUCCUCCCCCUCCGGUCUUAAUUAACUUAACUUAAUUAACUUAAGGGUCAUGUGACAGGAAAUAAUCACCAGGCUAAUAAAUAAUAUGUGAUUUGAUGCAAAGUGUGAAUACAAG
ensembl:lncRNA